GGUGCUGUAUUCUGCCGCCCAUUUUACCCGCGGGGAAGCUGAGGCCCAGUGCUGUUUAAUAUCUUACUCAUGUUCACUUGAUGAGAAAGUGACAGAUCUGAGACAAACCCAGUUCUAGAGGUUAUGACACCAGCCAUGGAAGAGCAGAGAGGCCAAUGAGGUGGGGAGGUUGGAAACAAAAGGCCUUCUCCACCCCAGCUUGACCAACCCAAAAGCUGGAAGGCAAGGAAGACCUAGGGAGAAGUGAAAUUCUACCUCACUUUUUUAAAAGAAGAGCCUGGAAUUGGCCUAUCCGUCUUUUUCCCCGUUGGAUCACAGAGCAGAAAGGAAGCUAAGACCUCUAGUACAGUGUUCAAUGGAACUGGUGAGAAAAGACGUCCUUGCUGUGUUCCUGAUAUGAAGAGGAAAGCAGUCCUUCUCCAUUAAGUAAAAUGCUGACAACAUGAGCCUCCCGUGGUCGGAACGGGCUUGUGAAGGCGGUGCUGGGGUGCACCAGGGCAGCAGCUACAGCUACAACUCAAAUCCCAGGAACACAGGAUUGCAGUGACCUACAUAAUUUGGGCUCAAAUACCUUCAAGGCAUUCCGAAGAGACAGAGAACACCAGAACAAGGGAGAAUUGGAGUGGAGGUGGAUGCUGAAAUUCCAGUAUAAAAAUCUACUCUGGCUGAGGAAUAAGACAAAAUAAGAAAUGCAAUAUAGUCGCUACUCAGGAAUUUUGACUGAGGUUGGACAUUGUUUAGAAAUGGGAACAAGUUUGAAGGAUAGGAUGGAGGGAAGGAAAAUAUUUUUUAUUGCUUCCAAUAUAGUGGCUUUCAUAAAGCUGAAAGUCUCCCCUGGAAGAAGACCUCAGGGGCCCUUUCCUGAACAGGUGAGAAUGGUUUGUAAUUAACAUAUUAAUUGGUAGGUGCUUCUGAAAUGCUGGAGGAUGCUUGAGAAAGGACUUGAGUAGUUCCAGCAUUACCUUUUCCAAAUUGUUCUUGUCAUAAAUUGACUCAGCCAACCCUCUUCUUUAUACAAAGGUUAACUUCCCGUCCAGCAGGUGUGGGUUAUCACAGUCUACAUGUGGCAGUUUCUGUAUAAUAUUUGCCUCUGGGUGCCCCUGUGAAAACAGCUAAAAAUAGGGACUUUUGGAGAGAGAAGUCUAUCGGGACAGCUAAGGACUGCAGGUGACCUUGAAGCCAUGAGGAUAAGUCCCCGCUUUUUGGAAGAGGCAGCCGGAACCUGUUAGACUGCUACUGAAGCUCGGUACGUUAUCUAUACCGGCAUCUAACUGCUGCCAGCCACUAAGAAAUGUUUUCUUGCUACAAACAAAAAAUAAAAAGAAAAAUAACAUUA
rnacentral:lncRNA from 1 species